AUAGGAUUUCAGAGUCGUGCAAGCCAGAUGCAAAACCUGAAGGAUUCACUGUGCAGGGAGUAUACAACUGGAUGUCUAGAAAGGCAGGCCAGCGCUCCACUUUGAGAGAGCCUUCCUGGACAUCCUGUCCAAACAAAUCCCCGCCACCCGACCCUCACCAACUGCUAUGGAAAGCAACGAAAUAUUUUGUUUAUGUUUGUGAAUUUCAGAUCCCUCUUUGAAAAGGGAGACAUUUUCCCCAGUUCUAUUCAGACUACGCCACCAGUGUGCCCUGGAAGAGCCCAGAACAAGCUGCAAUGGCCCUGCAGGUGAGCCGCUUCUGUUGC
rnacentral:lncRNA from 1 species